UCACUUUUUAUCCUCAUUGUUACACUUCUUCUUUUGUUUAGUCUCUCUUUCUAGCAUUUUUUUUAAAUGUAUAAAUCUUUGCCUUUCCAUUUCACUUUCCUUUUGUUUGAUUUUAUCUAUAAAACGCUUCACAGUGUACCUUAGCGCUCCAUUUUUUGAUAGUUUAUAAAUAACCAGUCACCCAUUGAUUAGUGCUUGAACUUCUAAUGCUGUCAGAAUGAAAGUGAAACUGUCACAAAAGAGGUCCAUGUUAAACGUGUGUCAUCAUUCAUCCCUUUGUGAAUUCCCUGCACUCUGCAGUAUUAUCACUCUGAGUUUCAUUCUGACUGGACUCAAAGGCUGCUCACACCAAAGCCUCUUUGUGCUUUUGCUAGAUGGGAGCUGUCCUGCCAUCAGGGCAUUGCUAAAAUCUCUUCAGAAGAGAGCACAUGAGACACACUGAGUGGCAAUAAUGGCACAGUAGGUUGACUCAAGAUUGAGUAGAAAAAGCAGGAGAAUGGAUAGAGUGAAAGAGAGAGCUCACAACAAAAACAAGUGUGUGCUGUCCGCUCUGUACGAUCACACACAGUCAAGACUUGUGUGUGCUUUAACUCACGUGCCUGGUCCAUGUCCUAAGGUAAAGAACCCCCUUCCUAACUCGCAUAGGACGAGGGGCAAAUCUAAUUUCAGUUUUCAGUUGUUGCUGUCCACUUCCCAAUGACAUGUGCUAUGAAUUAUGAACUUAAUUUGGGAACAAAUAGGAACAAAAUCCUCUCUGGAGGGGUUGUUGGCCUCAGUGUUUCACAGAACUGACUCAUUAAAUACCAUUGGGUAUGUCUUAUUAAUUCGCCUGUAAUGCAACAUUUCAUUACACGACUCAAAUUCAGCGCAAUCUAUGUUCAAAAACUAAACAUUCUACAGUCGUUGACCAAACUCCGCCCUAAAGCUCAGUUUUGCAAUGACUUGAAAAAUCAUCCUCCGUGAACCUUUGCUGGAGCAGUUCUGAGGAAAAUGACCCAACAGUUCUUGUUUAGACCCAUCAUAAUGUUUUGUAUUUGUGUUUAGGCUUUCAGUAUUGGAACGUUACCUUAGAUACCUUAAUUUAUUCAUUCAAAUUCUGCCAUUGUUUUGAUUUUUGUAGAAUAAAAGUAGACACUGGUUGUGAACUUAGUAAAAUAGUAGUCUUAGCUCAUUCUUGACCAAAGACAAUCUUAAACCUGCAGCCUCCAUAGGAAUGAACUAGAAAAUGUUGCUUUUACACACAGACAGAAGAUUGUGCAUAUGAACUUUGCCUUGCUUGACCAAAAAAAUAAGACACAGCAAAACUGUUGCAGCAACAUUCAUCCAAAACUGCUUGUUUCUCUCUCUCUGUCUUCCUCUCCUUUCUCUAUGUCCACAGUUGAAAAACAUACUGACUCAAGUGUCAGGAACAAAAACAAGUUGGCCAUCCUCACAUACUAAGAGAGGGAGAGAAUGAAA